UAUUUUUCAUUCUCUCUCUCUUAGCUCUCUGAAAUUCCUUAUCUCUGAAUGCAUGCAUGCCUCUCUCCUUCAAUUCCUUAUCUCUGAUCUCAUCUUUGUUCUUCUCUCUCCAACCAAACACAAUAGCCAACACAACAACCAAGCCGCUGCCGUCAAAUUUGAGAUUUGAAGGACGUGAAUUUGCUGAGUUGAUGUUCGAAGUUUCUGGGUUUUGGAUUGUAAUUUAUUUUUCAGCAAUUUUUCUGUUUUUUUU